rnacentral:rRNA from 1 species
CAGUCGAACGAACUUCCGUUAUUGAUUAUGACGUACUUGUACUGAUUGAGAUUUUAACACGAAGUGAGUGGCGAACGGGUGAGUAACACGUGGGUAACCUGCCCAGAAGUAGGGGAUAACACCUGGAAACAGAUGCUAAUACCGUAUAACAGAGAAAACCGCAUGGUUUUCUUUUAAAAGAUGGCUCUGCUAUCACUUCUGGAUGGACCCGCGGCGUAUUAGCUAGUUGGUGAGGUAAAGGCUCACCAAGGCAGUGAUACGUAGCCGACCUGAGAGGGUAAUCGGCCACAUUGGGACUGAGACACGGCCCAGACUCCUACGGGAGGCAGCAGUAGGGAAUCUUCCACAAUGGACGCAAGUCUGAUGGAGCAACGCCGCGUGAGUGAAGAAGGGUUUCGGCUCGUAAAGCUCUGUUGUUAAAGAAGAACGUGGGUAAGAGUAACUGUUUACCCAGUGACGGUAUUUAACCAGAAAGCCACGGCUAACUACGUGCCAGCAGCCGCGGUAAUACGUAGGUGGCAAGCGUUAUCCGGAUUUAUUGGGCGUAAAGCGAGCGCAGGCGGUCUUUUAAGUCUAAUGUGAAAGCCUUCGGCUCAACCGAAGAAGUGCAUUGGAAACUGGGAGACUUGAGUGCAGAAGAGGACAGUGGAACUCCAUGUGUAGCGGUGAAAUGCGUAGAUAUAUGGAAGAACACCAGUGGCGAAGGCGGCUGUCUGGUCUGCAACUGACGCUGAGGCUCGAAAGCAUGGGUAGCGAACAGGAUUAGAUACCCUGGUAGUCCAUGCCGUAAACGAUGAUUACUAAGUGUUGGAGGGUUUCCGCCCUUCAGUGCUGCAGCUAACGCAUUAAGUAAUCCGCCUGGGGAGUACGACCGCAAGGUUGAAACUCAAAAGAAUUGACGGGGGCCCGCACAAGCGGUGGAGCAUGUGGUUUAAUUCGAAGCUACGCGAAGAACCUUACCAGGUCUUGACAUCUUCUGACAGUCUAAGAGAUUAGAGGUUCCCUUCGGGGACAGAAUGACAGGUGGUGCAUGGUUGUCGUCAGCUCGUGUCGUGAGAUGUUGGGUUAAGUCCCGCAACGAGCGCAACCCUUAUUACUAGUUGCCAGCAUUAAGUUGGGCACUCUAGUGAGACUGCCGGUGACAAACCGGAGGAAGGUGGGGACGACGUCAAAUCAUCAUGCCCCUUAUGACCUGGGCUACACACGUGCUACAAUGGAUGGUACAACGAGUCGCGAGACCGCGAGGUUAAGCUAAUCUCUUAAAACCAUUCUCAGUUCGGACUGUAGGCUGCAACUCGCCUACACGAAGUCGGAAUCGCUAGUAAUCGCGGAUCAGCAUGCCGCGGUGAAUACGUUCCCGGGCCUUGUACACACCGCCCGUCACACCAUGAGAGU